UGACCUCAGAUCAGGUAGGACUACCCGCUGAACUUARGCAUAUCAAUARGCGGAGGAAAAGAAACUAACAAGGAUUCCCCUAGUAACUGCGAGUGAAGCGGGAAGAGCUCAAAUUUUGAAUCUGGCAGUCCUUGGCUGUCCGAGUUGUAAUCUAGAGAAGUGUUUUCCGCGCCGGACCGUGUAUAAGUCUCCUGGAAGGGAGCGUCGUAGAGGGUGAGAAUCCCGUCUUUGACACGGACUACCAGUGCUAUGUGAUGCGCUCUCGACGAGUCGAGUUGUUUGGGAAUGCAGCUCAAAACGGGUGGUAAACUCCAUCUAAAGCUAAAUACAGGCGAGAGACCGAUAGCGAACAAGUACCGUGAGGGAAAGAUGAAAAGAACUUUGGAAAGAGAGUUAAACAGUACGUGAAAUUGCUGAAAGGGAAACGCUUGAUGUCAGUCGCGUUGGCUGGGGAUCAACCUUGCUUCGCGCUGGGUGUACUUCCCGGUCGACGGGUCAGCAUCAGUUUCAGUCGCCGUACAAGGGCGAGGGGAACGUGGCACUCCUCGGAGUGUGUUAUAGCCUUUCGUCGUAUGCGGCGGUCGGGACUGAGG
rnacentral:rRNA from 1 species